rnacentral:rRNA from 1 species
UGGGGAAUAUUGCACAAUGGGCGCAAGCCUUAUGCAGCCAUGCCGCGUGUAUGAAGAAGGCCUUCGGGUUGUAAAGUACUUUCAGCGGGGAGGAAGGGAGUAAAGUUAAUACCUUUGCUCAUUGACGUUACCCGCAGAAGAAGCACCGGCUAACUCCGUGCCAGCAGCCGCGGUAAUACGGAGGGUGCAAGCGUUAAUCGGAAUUACUUGGCGUAAAGCGCACGCAGGCGGUUUGUUAAGUCAGAUGUGAAAUCCCCGGGCUCAACCUGGGAACUGCAUCUGAUACUGGCAAGCUUGAGUCUCGUAGAGGGGGGUAGAAUUCCAGGUGUAGCGGUGAAAUGCGUAGAGAUCUGGAGGAAUACCGGUGGCGAAGGCGGCCCCCUGGACGAAGACUGACGAUCAGGUGCGAAAGCGUGGGGAGCAAACAGG